rnacentral:rRNA from 1 species
UGCGUAGGCGGACUAAUAAGUCAGUGGUGAAAUCUUUCGGCUCAACCGGGAAACUGCCAUUGAUAGUGUUAGUCUUGAGUUCGGUUGAGGUAGGCGGAAUGUGUAAUGUAGCGGUGAAAUGCUUAGAUAUUACAAAGAACACCAAUUGCGUAUGCAGCUUACUAGACCGAAACUGACGCUGAGGCACGAAAGCGUGGGGAGCGAACAGGAUUAGAUACCCUGGUAGUCC